GAAUUCUUUACAUUAAUAAUUUUUGAGGGCACAGUAAUAUAGAGUAGCACUUUUUAAAGUAGCAAUUUGAAGAAUAAUUUUCCUUCAACUGUUUUUGCUUAUUUUCAUUUAUUUAUGGUUUUAUUCUGAUGACUCCCUGCUGCUGGUGUCUGGAGGAGUCUCUAGAAUCCACAGCAGAAACAGAUCAGGAGAAAUUAUUGGGGGAACUGGAUCCAGGAAACUUUUAAGGUUCUUGCUCUUUUAUUGGGAUUUGAGGACGCACAAAACUGCCAGUUCACUCUGUGUCGGAGGAUAUUUACAUUAUGUUUUAUACCAGUCAUAAAUGAAAAUGGCAUUAAUCUGUCAAGUUGCUGUUAAAAAAAAAGAGAGAAAAGAAAAAGGUGGGUGACCUCUCAAAGAAAGCCCUCUGCUGCCAGCGCUUUGCAGUGAGUGUGUGUUUUUAAAUAGCAGGGCAAAGGUGACAAAGCAGACUCAAACAUCUCUAUCUCCAUGGCAACAGCAGCAUUGCUCUGACGCAGCAGCAGAGACCAAAAUACACACUUGCACAAUUAGACUGCAAGUUAGGACAUUUCCUUGUACUUGUAGAUCUAGAAUUUUGGAAUCCUAGCAAGAACUGAAAAAAGAGCAAACCAUGCACAGCUGGCAGUUUGUCUGGAAAAUGACUAAUUGAAAAAGAUGAAAAUCUAAAGAUAGCAUUUAAAAAAAAAAGAACAACUCCAUGAAUUCCACCUUUCCUUAGCCUGAGCACAGAGGAUUCAAGAAACAGAAGUUGGUGUACCUGCAAAAGAAUGAAGGUGUAUGUAUGACAAAUCGCCAGUAUGGUUUCUAGUACCAGAAAGAUGAUGACAUUACAGAGAAGUACGUUUGUGCAGCUCCAAUCACCUAAAAGAAGAGAAUAAUUUCUUGCAACAACAACAACAAAAG